AAGACUCUCGGCAACGGAUAUCUCGGCUCUUGCAUCGAUGAAGAACGUAGCGAAAUGCGAUACUUGGUGUGAAUUGCAGAAUCCCGUGAACCAUCGAGUCUUUGACGUUGCGCCCGAAGCCAUUAGGCCGAGGGCACGCCUGCCUGGGUGUUGCACAU
rnacentral:rRNA from 1 species